rnacentral:tRNA from 1 species
GUGUUUGUGGCUCAGUGGUAAAGCACUUGCCUAGCAUGCAUGAGGCACUGGGUUUGAUCCUUGGAAUCACA